AUUGAACGCUGGCGGCAGGCCUAACACAUGCAAGUCGAGCGGAUGAAGGGGGCUUGCUCCUGGAUUCAGCGGCGGACGGGUGAGUAAUGCCUAGGAAUCUGCCUGGUAGUGGGGGAUAACGUCCGGAAACGGGCGCGAAUACCGCAUACGUCCUGAGGGAGCAAGUGGGGGAUCUUCGGACCUCACGCUAUCAGAGGAGCCUAGGUCGGAUUAGCUAGUUGGUGGGGUAAAGGCCUACUAAGGAGACGAUCCGUAACUGGUCUGAGAGGCUGAUCAGUCACACUGGAACUGGGACACGGUCCAGGGUCCUACGGGAGGCAGCAGUGGGGAAUGUUGGGCAAUGGGCGAAAGCCUGGUCCAGCGGGGCGGCGUGUGUGAAGGAGGUCUUCGGAUCGGGAAGAACGUUAAGUGGGGGGGAAGGGCAGUAGGUUAAUACGUUGCUGGUUUGACGGUACCGGGAGAAGAAGCACCGGCUAACUUCGUG
rnacentral:rRNA from 1 species